CCGGCGCCCAUGAAGGUCUGCCUACAAACCAGCCCGCUGGUGGGGCAGACCCGAGACCCGCGUG
rfam:Erinaceus europaeus unplaced genomic scaffold scaffold00255, whole genome shotgun sequence